GCUGAGGUGCAGGGACAUGGCUCUAUCCAGGGUGGUACGGGGACAUGGCUGGGACCAUGGAGGCAUGGGGCAUGGUGUCAUCCACGGUGGCAUGGAGACAUGGCUCCAGCAUGGGGACACAUCUCCAUCCACGAUGGCCUGGGGACGCAGCCGGGACCGUUGCCCUGGGGGACACAGCCCACGGCCACGGCUCCCCGCGUGCUCCCAGCCGACCCCAUGUCCCCCUCCGGCAGAGCGUCCCCACAACGCYGCCACCAACAGCGGCUACUCCCGCAAGGAGAACGGCGGCUUCUUCUCCUGCUAGGAGCCUCCUCGCCCGCAGUAAACGCCUGAGCGUGGCCAGACCCGGCGUCCUCGCUCCCGCGCCGAGGACAGAGCCGCUCGGGGAGGGGGGGGGACAUGGGCUGCGUCACCCCAGGCUCACGCGCCUUGCACCAAGCUUGCGCGCGGCUUGCACGGCCCCGUGUCUUGCACAAACCUCGCACGUGUCGCGGGGAGCUCGCGCGGCCCCGUGCAAAGCUCCCGCCUGCUGCACAGAGCUCGCACGGCCCCGUGCAACGCUACUGCGCGUCGCACGGCCCCAUACUAACCGCGCCCACGGGGCUUGCAAGGCCCCGUGUCCCAUACAAACGUCACACGCGCCGUGUGGCGCUUACACGGCCCUGUGCACGGCUCACGCUCAGCGCACGGUCCUGCGCAAAGCUCCUGCACGUUGCGUGGGGCUUUCGGGGCCCUAUGCAAAGCUUGCACGCUGUAUAGAGCUUGCACGGCCUUGUGCAAAGCUCACACGCGCUGCACGUAGCUUGCACGGGCCUUGUGCAAAGCUCACCCGUUGCACGGCCCCGUGCAAGGCCCCCGCACGCUGCACGGCCCCGUGCAAGGCCCCGGCGGCUGGAGCGGAUCAGAAUCGCCUCGUACUCAGGGGCCGGGCCCGGGGCACCCGGGGAUCCGGCCUCGUCUAUCUGAUCGACUCAUCACGUCCGCGCCGCCGGAGCGGUCUCGCUGCACAGCGCCCCGGGGGGGGGCUUCGCAGGAGGGGUCUUCUCACGNNNNNNNNNNNNNNNNNN
rnacentral:lncRNA from 1 species